rnacentral:rRNA from 1 species
CGGACGGGUGAGUAAUGUCUGGGAAACUGCCUGAUGGAGGGGGAUAACUACUGGAAACGGUAGCUAAUACCGCAUAACGUCGCAAGACCAAAGAGGGGGACCUUCGGGCCUCUUGCCAUCGGAUGUGCCCAGAUGGGAUUAGCUAGUAGGUGGGGUAACGGCUCACCUAGGCGACGAUCCCUAGCUGGUCUGAGAGGAUGACCUGCCACACUGGAACUGAGACACGGUCCAG